AUUGAACGCUGGCGGCAGGCCUAACACAUGCAAGUCGAACGGUAACAGGAAGAAGCUUGCUUCUUUGCUGACGAGUGGCGGACGGGUGAGUAAUGUCUGGGAAACUGCCUGAUGGAGGGGGAUAACUACUGGCAACGGUAGCUAAUACCGCAUAACGUCGCAAGACCAAAAAGGGGGACCUUCGGGCCUCUUGCCAUCGGAUGUGCCCAGAUGGGAUUAGCUAGUAGGUGGGGUAACGUCUCACCUAGGCGACGAUCCCUAGCUGGUCUGAGAGGAUGACCAGCCACACUGGAACUGAGACACGGUCCAGACUCCUACGGGAGGCAGCAGUGGGGAAUAUUGCACAAGGGGCGCAAGCCUGAUGCAGCCAUGCCGCGUGUAUGAAGAAGGCCUUCGGGUUGUAAAGUACUUUCAGCGGGGAGGAAGGGAGUAAAGUUAAUACCUUUGCUCAUUGACGUUACCCGAAGAAGAAGCACCGGCUAACUCCGUG
rnacentral:rRNA from 1 species